CACGUAGGGGCCAAGCGUUGUCCGGAUUUAUUGGGCGUAAAGAGCUCGUAGGCGGUUCAGCAAGUCGGGUGUGAAAACUCUGGGCUCAACCCAGAGACGCCACCCGAUACUGCUGUGACUAGAGUCCGGUAGGGGAGUGGGGAAUUCCUGGUGUAGCGGUGAAAUGCACAGAUAUCAGGAGGAACACCGGUGGCGAAGGCGCCACUCUGGGCCGGCACUGACGCUGAGGAGCGAAAGCGUGGGUAGCGAACAGG
rnacentral:rRNA from 1 species